CAAUUCAAAUUUUUUAUAAUUGGCUUCAAAACACCUUCAAUUCUUCAUAAAUAUAGAAAACAGGUAAUAUUAUUUUAGCUUAGUAAAUGUUUUUUUGCUUUUGUGUGUCUCAGCAUCGACUAUUAUUUUAAUUUUGACACUUCAAGCCUUGUGUGUCAAAUGGAAUUAUUUUUAGAAAAUGCUAUUUAUUCCUCAUCUUAAGUCUGCUUUGUUAGAUUUUCUUGCGAUAUUACUUAAUUCUCGUGUUUUUACCUAGAUUCGCUGCUAGUUCUAUUGAGAACAGUGUACACUGCUAGGAAUAUUGGCCUAUGAUAUAUCUAGAGUAGUCGAGCAUCCACCUGAAGCAUUUUGGAACCUCUAUCUAGCCAAUUUAGGGCAACACUCUGCACUGGAUAUACACCACUGCUCGAGCAUUUCAAUGUGAUAAGGUGAUAAGUGACACUUACACUGUCAACUGUGAAACAUCCUUUAAUUUCUCCCAUUCGUGUUUCGUCAGUUUGGGAGACCAUUGCAUUCCGACAGACUUUGGAUUCUACAGGUGUGUCUGGAGGAUUACUUCAUUUAUGUUAUAUUUUAGCUUUUCAAUACAUCAUGUACCAAAAUUCGAGUGUACCAUGUACCAAUUUCCUC